AGCCACUGCAGAGUUGAUGAAAGUCAAAUAGACAGAGAAGAUGGGUCUAUGUUAAUCCAUGACGGUAUACCUGCACCUUUUCUUCCAGUCAGCAAAACAAGUCAUAAAACAAUAAAAGCGGCUUCCUUAUCAAGAGCAUCCCAGCACACACAUCCCAACUGUAGUUCCAUAGUUUUUCCACCUUUUUUCUUUACAACCUGCUCUUUAUCUCUUCAUGUCAGAGGUCAACUGAAACCAACCCCACCUAUAUAAAACACCCCAAUCAGAUACACUGUACUUUUCCUCAGUACUACACAACUGCCCUCACAAGCACAACAUUUCGUUCAGCCGGACGGUCAGCAAAGCUAACAGCGUUCUUUUUUUAACAUGGACUUCAUAUAUGCCUGAUUUUUAGGCGCUUGUCACAAUGGGACAGCAUACGUUUCACAUACACAAGGUUAAUAAGCUGUCCAGAAAAACCUACAGAAGCGGGGGCGAUAAGACCAAGCCUUACGUUAGGCCUGAGACAGAGUAUGUUGCGUGUCGAGAACUGGGACCACCUGGAAUAACACAGGCCAAAGUCAAUCACACAACCCCUUCCCAUGAUGCGGACCAUGAAGACCCCUUGAUGCUUUUGGAAUAUUUACGUGAUAUUGAACUCCCAGAACAAUAACAACAAGAAAAACCACAAGCUUUGUGUAACAGUGGAGACUCAGAACCAUUCUUCAUCAUACAUACAUACCCCCGAGUGAGUGCCUGCCUCUUGAUUUCAGCGAUGUUUUUGAGUACAGCCAGAUUUCAAUAUCAUCGCCCUG